rnacentral:tRNA from 1 species
GGCCUUGUGGUCUAGUGGUAUGAUUCUCGCUCAGGGUGCGAGAGGUCCCAGAUUCGAUCUCCGGCAAGGCCC